GGAAAGGCUGAUGAAAGGUAUGUGACAUCUAUACCAAGUCUUGAAGGAAGAAAAAGACCUGAACCAGUGAAAAUGAGGAGAAUUAAUUUCAACAGGUAUUUGUCAAAGCCUUACACUGGAUCAGCACUGCCUUAGCCACUACUGAGGAUACAAAGUAUAAGCAGAAUUACCUGGGAAUCUCUAAAAGUGACUUGGAACCUGAUAAGAUCUACUAGGAGGAACACCCUUCAAAGCUUCCCUGAGAACGAGACCUAUUUCAAAAUGUCCAAGGGAAGAUGUUUCUGGGAACUACAUGAUUAUAUUGGACAUCUGGGACUCAAGAUGAAAUGUGUUGAUUAAAUAGACAUUGGGAGUGGGUUCCAGGUUACAAGGAAAUGAUGUCAAUAUUGAUGAUCAUUAUUGUAUUACUGCAGUUUUUUUGUUUCAUGGUGUUUAUGUUUGCUGAGUUUUCUUGGUGACCUUGAUGACAUGUAAAUCUCCUCUCUCAAACUGGUCCAUGGUGAACCCUUUAAAUAUAGUCUGAUCUACAGCCUGCCUUAGUUUACCUAUAAAGUCUAUUUAACAAGGUUUGUCUCCUUAGGGGUUAUAUAAGAUUUUAACUCUGCUUGUACUCUUUGUGUCUCUUACCCUACCCUUUUGAUGCCUCUUAAGGUAGGCUACCAUUCCAUCCAGAAAUCCCUAGUAGAUAAAGCUUUAAAUAAGUGAUCCUGGCGUUUGAGUAGCCCAAAGUAAAUAAUGUUACAUUAAAAAUGAGCAUGAGUAACUCCAUUUUACUUUUAUCCACCAUUUUGUGAAGUUAAGUUUCAGCUGCUUUUAAGUCACCUAAUUUUAAGUCACAAGAUUAAUUCCCCCCUCCCAAAGGUCACCAGAUUUAAGGAAUGUCACAAAACUAACCCCUUCCUUUUCACCUCAGUGUCCCCUGGGUCCUUAACUUAUAGGCUUUUUUGUGAAUGCCAUGCUAAAUAAA